rnacentral:lncRNA from 1 species
GUCACAGGGGAUGCGAUGGCUUGGCUUGGGCUCAGAGGCCUGACAUUCCUGCCUUCUUAUAUUAAUAAGAAAAAUAAAACAAAAUAGUGUUGAAGUCUUGGGGCGGCGAAAAUUUUUGGGGGGUGGUAUGGAGAGAGAAUGGGCGAUGUUUCUCAGGGCUGCUUCAAGCAGGGGUAGGGGCAGCGUGGGAACCUAGAAUGGGAGAGAUUAAGCUGAAGGGAGAUCUUGUGGUAAGGGGAGAUAUUGUGGGGAUGUUAGAAGAAACAUUUGUCAUAUAGAAUGAUUGGUGAUGGCCUGGAUACAGUUUUGGAUGAAUUGAGAAACUAAAUGGAAUAAGAGAAGGAGAAAAACAGGUAUAAAAGGUCUAAGAAUUGGGACGACUCAGGAUAUCUGAUUAGAGAGUGCCUAAGGAGAUUCAGCAUAGUCCUGCCAGCAAAGAUUAUUUAUUUACUUCAAGAGUUAAGAGUGGCAGUUUGGGGAUAGCACAAGGAGAUAUCAGCUGUGAUGGCUUGGAGAAACAGUGUAAACUGGCAGUGUAAACAAGAGCAGGGCAUGUAUGAGUACUUGAGAACAGAGAAUAGGAGUAUGACUAGACAGAAAAUAGUAGGGAUGACAAGUUUUUUUGGGGCACAGUCUAAGUUGGUCUGGUGUCUGGAAUGAGACUGGGGCCUAAUAAAAAGGAGCUCGAAUGGGCUGUACCUUGUAGCAGUCCGAGGACAGGCCUGAAUUCUGAGAAGGGAAAGUGGUAAAAAUAUUGGUUGGUGGCUGAGCUUGGUGAGGUGUGUUUUUAAAAGACCUUUAGUCCGUUCUACUUUUCCUGAAGGCGGAGGACCGUAAGGGAUAUAAAGGUUUCACUGAAUACUAAGAGCCUGAAAAACUGCUUGGCUGAUUUGACUAAUGAAAUUCAGUGAAAGUGUCUACCUAGAGUAAGAGGUAUUUUAGUUUCCUGACUCAGGGCAUAU